ensembl:lncRNA
GCUGCCAGGGCUGCAGCAGCCUGGGAGGGGGGCUGUGAUGGAUGGGAGGGAGUUAGUUAAUAGAGCCCCAAACACAUGAGCCCUGUCCCCACACCGACCCUCCCCCUCACACACACACACACACACACACACACACACACACACACACACACACACUUUUGCAGCUUCCUCUGACAGCUGCCCUGGCCUUCUGAAAUAGCCCUAUGGAAUAUUCCUCGCUUCCGUCUCCCUCUAAGCUGUGCUGAAAAGCUGUUUUUUUGGACACUGGCAAGAGUCAUUGCUGCCCACCCCAUCCCCAACCUCUGCCAACAUAAGUCCCCGUGUGGGUCCUGGGCAAAGACGGCUCAAGACAGUGUUAAAAGAUGAGCUUGACUCAGCUAAUAUUGGCAUCUCAUCGAGAUUCUUAACCACUGGACCACCAGGGAAACCCCUCCCAUCAGGUUUUGAGCUCCCUGUUGCUGGAAGGAUUCAAGCCAUGCCUGGAUGAGCAGAAAGGUUUAGGGAGGAUCUUUGCAAAGGGACCUACCGUUCUCUGAUGCCCUGUACUUGCUUCCUGU